GAGGAGAAGAAAUAAUGAGUGAUUGUUUCUUCUUUGGAGAAAUUUGUACUCAAAGAAUUACUCAUGUAGAGUCUCACUGUGCUGUCAUCUGAGACUUGAAGGUCAUUACUGAACCCAUGCUUCCUCUCAACUUCAUGAGAAGAUCACUACAGAUGCAGAUCACCACACUUAGCUAGUGAUAUUCCUGUCUCCUUGCCAAUAAAAUUUCAUCUACCCUUGGUUGUGUACAAGAUUUAUGUAGCUAUUUCAUCAAUGACAGAGUGAAGAAAAUUGGCAGAUACAUAAGUAACAGGCAAGGAGACCGAUCCCAGAAAGAGACUGCUGCAAUAAAAUUGGAGUUAUGUAAGAAAGAGAUGGUAGGCUUACACCUUUGGCAUUGACCUCUAACAUAUUUGCUUGUGCCAGUCUCUUGCUGAAGAUUGACAACAAGCUGCUGUUACUAGGAGGCUUGCUCGGGAAACCUUCAGAUGAAAAGGAAAAGGAAACGUCACCAU